UGGGGAAUUUUGGACAAUGGGGGAAACCCUGAUCCAGCCAUCCCGCGUGUGCGAUGAAGGCCUUCGGGUUGUAAAGCACUUUUGGCAGGAAAGAAACGUCAUGGGUUAAUACCCCGUGAAACUGACGGUACCUGCAGAAUAAGCACCGGCUAACUACGUGCCAGCAGCCGCGGUAAUACGUAGGGUGCAAGCGUUAAUCGGAAUUACUGGGCGUAAAGCGGGCGCAGGCGGUUCGGAAAGAAAGAUGUGAAAUACCAGAGCUCAAUUUUGGAACUGUAUUUUUAACUACCGGGCUAGAGUGUGUCAGAGGGAGGUGGAAUUCCGCGUGUAGCAGUGAAAUGCGUCGAUAUGCGGAGGCACAUCGAUGGCGAAGGCAGACUCAUGGGAUAACAAUGACGCUCAUGUACGAAAGCGUGGGGAGCAAACAGG
rnacentral:rRNA from 1 species